rnacentral:rRNA from 1 species
GACGAACGCUGGCGGCGUGCUUAACACAUGCAAGUCGAACGGAAAGGCCCUGCUUUUGUGGGGUGCUCGAGUGGCGAACGGGUGAGUAACACGUGAGUAACCUGCCCUUGACUUUGGGAUAACUCCAGGAAACUGGGGCUAAUACCGGAUAGGAGCUCCUGCUGCAUGGUGGGGGUUGGAAAGUUUCGGCGGUUGGGGAUGGACUCGCGGCUUAUCAGCUUGUUGGUGGGGUAGUGGCUUACCAAGGCUUUGACGGGUAGCCGGCCUGAGAGGGUGACCGGCCACAUUGGGACUGAGAUAGGGCCCAGACUCCUACGGGAGGCAGCAGUGGGGAAUAUUGCACAAUGGGCGGAAGCCUGAUGCAGCAACGCCGCGUGCGGGAUGACGGCCUUCGGGUUGUAAACCGCUUUCGCCUGUGACGAAGCGUGAGUGACGGUAAUGGGUAAAGAAGCACCGGCUAACUACGUG